rnacentral:lncRNA from 1 species
GAGGACUUUGCACGGAGCUUCUUUUAGGGGUACUGAAAACUUUCAAGACUGUCUGAGAGGGACUCUUCAGGAAGUAUUGGCUUUACUGAUCUCUCAAAGAGCAACUUCAUUUUUUUCUAUUCUUGUGAUUUGUAUUUUCUUGUUAAGUUCAAAACUUCAGAGGUCUGAGUACAAGUAUAUCCUUCUAAUACGCCGACGACUAUAGUACUAUACAAAGGAGAAAUAAUCAUCAAAUGAAGAAGAGACAGAAGGAAUAUGCAUGCCAAACAAGAAAAAUUAAACAGGAAGAGUUCUUCAUGUCUCAGUAACUUUUUCCAGUCUUCAAAUAUCUUCUCAACCUGCAGUCUCAUCAAUACAUCAAUGUCUCUUCUAAAACAAGUCUCUGGAUCAAUCACAAUUCAAGCACAAGGUUUACACAAACUAUUGACUUGUGCCUCAUGCUGUCCUGCAGCCUCUCCUGCUCCAUUGCCCUUUUCACCAGAAAGCCAGAAGAUCAUGGAAUCUGACAGAGACCAAAGCACAGAACCUAACCUGAGGAGGGAGGAGAAAAGGGUCUAAGAAAGGGAUAAGUGUAAAAGAAAGUACAAGUCAUAGGGCAAGUAGCCAAACGUCAUACAAAGGCUUCAGGUUUGUUGUUGUUGUUGUUGUUUGUUUUUUGUUUUUUAAUUAGAAGACAAGGUAAUUUGAGAAAUUGAGGGCCAACUGAACUUUAUACAUUACUUCAAUAGUCAGUUUUAGUGCUAUAUGAAAAUAUCUCUAACUCUGCUUGUAAUUUCCUGUUACGUAUAAACAGAUCACGUAAGGAUCACUUUUACUGCUACCACACCACCUGACUCAUGUUGACUUACGUGUCCAUUCUGAGUCCCAGACUCUCCUCAAAGUGACAGCAGCAUUCUUAAAAACUCAGAAAAUUUGCUUAUACUCCACGUUCUUGAUGUAUAAGCUUGCUUGCAGCUAUACGUAAACACAUUUUGAGUGGACCCAGUUACUAGACAACAUAAUUACUUCAACAUCAUUUCUACUUGCUAUUUAUCAGUCUUUGCAUCAGUCUUUUUUUAUUAUUAUUAUUUUUUUCCAGUGAUAAUUGACUAUAGUCCUUUGAUAAAAUUGUUUGAAAGCAUGAAUAUUUAGUGUUCCAGACAUGCUGUUACUUUCAUGCCAAUCAUGUAAUCUUAUCAAAGCAUUAAGCCAGCUUUCUUUGACAAUAGCUAUUUUCCCUAGAACUAUAUUAAUUUUCACUAAUUAUAUUCUUAUGCUUUAAUUCUUCUUCUUUUGUUUUAAUCACUUUAGUCAUGGAAAAGUUCUCUGUGACAGUCUAACCAGUUCAUAGUCAACCUACUCUACCUUUCUAAACAUUGGCAUAACAUGGGCAUGAACACAGCCUUCUG